rnacentral:rRNA from 1 species
UACGUAGGGGGCAAGCGUUGUUCGGAAUUACUGGGCGUAAAGGGCGCGUAGGCGGCACGGCAAGUCAGGAGUGAAAGCCCGGGGCUCAACCCCGGAAUGUCUUUUGAAACUGCCGAGCUAGAGUGCGGAAGAGGCAACUGGAAUUCCCAGUGUAGCGGUGAAAUGCGUAGAUAUUGGGAAGAACACCUGAGGCGAAGGCGGGUUGCUGGGCCGACACUGACGCUGAGGCGCGAAAGCCAGGGAAGCGAACGGG